CAGUCGACGGCAGCGCGGGGCAACCUGGCGGCGAGUGGCGAACGGGUGAGUAAUAUAUCGGAACGUACCCUGGAGUGGGGGAUAACGUAGCGAAAGUUACGCUAAUACCGCAUACGAUCUAAGGAUGAAAGUGGGGGAUUCGCAAGAACCUCAUGCUCCUGGAGCGGCCGAUAUCUGAUUAGCUAGUUGGUAGGGUAAAAGCCUACCAAGGCAUCGAUCAGUAGCUGGUCUGAGAGGACGACCAGCCACACUGGAACUGAGACACGGUCCAGACUCCUACGGGAGGCAGCAGUGGGGAAUUUUGGACAAUGGGCGCAAGCCUGAUCCAGCAAUGCCGCGUGAGUGAAGAAGGCCUUCGGGUUGUAAAGCUCUUUUGUCAGGGAAGAAACGGUGAUCUCUAAUAUAGGUUGCUAAUGACGGUACCUGAAGAAUAAGCACCGGCUAACUACGUGCCAGCAGCCGCGGUAAUACGUAGGGUGCAAGCGUUAAUCGGAAUUACUGGGCGUAAAGCGUGCGCAGGCGGUUUUGUAAGACUGUCGUGAAAUCCCCGGGCUCAACCUGGGAAUGGCGAUGGUGACUGCAAGGCUAGAGUUUGGCAGAGGGGGGUAGAAUUCCACGUGUAGCAGUGAAAUGCGUAGAUAUGUGGAGGAACACCGAUGGCGAAGGCAGCCCCCUGGGUCAAAACUGACGCUCAUGCACGAAAGCG
rnacentral:rRNA from 1 species